rnacentral:pre_miRNA from 1 species
GGCAUGGAAUCCUGCGGCAUCCACCCAGUCCACCUUCAACUCCAUCAUGAAGUGUGACGUGGACAUCUGCAAAGACGUGUAGGCC